rnacentral:lncRNA from 1 species
UUCUAGAUAUAUCACUUCCUAAGAGCAUGUCUAAUCGUCUUCAAAUUGUCCACCCACCUAGCUGCCAAGGAAGAGAACCCUCUAAUUGCUUUUUCCAAUUGGUAAGCACACCAUCUUCCAAGUCUGGCUCUUUAAGCCAUCAUAAUUCAAAUCUAAAAAUUUUAUGGGCAUCAAACUUUACUUUGCAAUCUAAUGCCAUCAGAACAUGAC